rfam:Dictyocaulus viviparus strain HannoverDv2000 D_viviparus-1.0_Cont17314.1, whole genome shotgun sequence.
GCCUCAGUAGUGUUGUAAUAGAUCAGCACGGCAGACCGGAUAUCUGUAAGUGCGGGUUCAAGUCCCGCCUGAGGUU